rnacentral:tRNA from 5 species
GGGGCCGUAGCUCAGCCAGGCAGAGCGGCGGGCUCCAGACCCGUAGGGCGGGGGUUCAAAUCCCUCCGGCCCCACCA